rnacentral:rRNA from 1 species
UGCCUACGGGAGGCAGCAGUGAGGAAUAUUGGUCAAUGGGCGGGAGCCUGAACCAGCCAAGUCGCGUGAGGGAAGACGGUCCUACGGAUUGUAAACCUCUUUUGCCGGGGAGCAACGGGGUCCUUGCGAGGGCCCGAUGAGAGUACCCGGAGAAAAAGCAUCGGCUAACUCCGUGCCAGCAGCCGCGGUAAUACGGAGGAUGCGAGCGUUAUCCGGAUUUAUUGGGUUUAAAGGGUGCGCAGGCGGAAAAUCAAGUCAGCGGUAAAAUUGAGAGGCUCAACCUCUUCGAGCCGUUGAAACUGGUU